AUGCGUGUCUCACACACACAUUUAGAGUAUUGCCCUGCUAGUCUACUCCUAGUAGUUGAUUCUUCCAUGUUCUUCUCUUCUUUCCUUCCUUUACUCUCCCCUCCUUCCUCCCCUCUUUUCCCUCCUUCCUUCCUUUCUUUCUCUCUUUCUUUCUUUCAGUGUUUCCCUGCUUUCCUUCCUUCCUUCCUUCCUUCCUUCCUUCUCUCUCUCUUUCUUCCUUUCUCUCUCUCUUUCUUUCUUUCUUUCUUUCUUUCUUUCUUUCUUUCUUUCUUUCUUUCUUUUCUUUCUUUCUUUCUUUCUUUCUUUCUUUCUUUCUUUUCUUUCUUUCCCUCACUCUCUACAGCUAUAACUCUAAAUCCAAACAGGAGAAAGAACAUGCCACCAGGGGGGUUUGGAAAUGCCAAAAUAGCUAAGCCAACAGCUGCUACUAUCACUCUUCCCAACCCAGAAAAGUCAAAGUACAGUUCAAUGUCAUGGGUCCCUGCAAUCUUGUGGAGCUUUCUCAAUUUCCCCAAGGGGUUGAAUACUGAACCUCUUCAAGGAAAAAGAGAACCAAGUGGUGAUUAAUGAAACCUAAACCAUAAGCAAUACUCUAAAUGAGCUUGUCUUGCUAUCACCUCACAUUUAAAAUAUAUAUUUUUUGCUAUUUUGAACUUGGCAAGCACCAAGAAAUAUGGAACUACCUACAUAUAAAGAAGAAUAAAAGUAGAAUUGCAAAUGAAAUCA
rnacentral:lncRNA from 1 species